UUAAUACAUGCAAGUCGAGCGGUCUCUUUCGGGAGACAGCGGCGGACGGGUUAGUAACGCGUGGGAACGUGCCCUUUAGUACGGAAUAGCCAUUGGAAACGAUGAUUAAUACCGUAUACGCCCUAUGGGGGAAAGAUUUAUCGCUAAAGGAUCGGCCCGCGUUAGAUUAGGUUGUUGGUGGGGUAAUGGCCUACCAAGCCUACGAUCUAUAGCUGGUUUGAGAGGAUGAUCAGCAACACUGGGACUGAGACACGGCCCAGACUUCUACGGAAGGCAGCAGUAGGGAAUCUUGGACAAUGGGCGAAAGCCUGAUCCAGCCAUGCCGCGUGAGUGAUGAAGGCCCUAGGGUUGUAAAACUCUUUCGCCAGGGAAGAUAAUGACGGUACCUGGUAAAGAAACCCCGGC
rnacentral:rRNA from 1 species